UGUGGUGGCGAUAGCGAGAAGGAUACACCUGUAACCAUGCCGAACACAGAAGUUAAGCUUCUUAGCGCCGAUUGUAGUGAGGG
rnacentral:rRNA from 2 species